UGAAUCAGUUGUGGGGU
rnacentral:misc_RNA from 1 species